rnacentral:misc_RNA from 1 species
AGCAGCCGCGGUAAUUCCAGCUCCAAUAGCGUAUAUUAAAGUUGCUGCAGUUAAAAAGCUCGUAGUUGAAUUUCGGGACUAAUAUGUCGGUCGUGCCUCGGUACGUACUGGUUUAUUGGUUUCUCCUUUCUGAAGAACCAUGAUGUCAUUUAUUUGGUGUCGUGGGGAAUCAGGACUGUUACUUUGAAAAAAUUAGAGUGUUUAAAGCAGGCUCACGCUUGAAUACAUUAGCAUGGAAUAAUGAAAUAGGACGUUUGAUUCUAUUUUGUUGGUUUCUAGGAUCGACGUAAUGAUUAAUAGGGAUAGUUGGGGGCAUUAGUAUUCAAUUGUCAGAGGUGAAAUUCUUGGAUUUAUUGAAGACUAACUACUGCGAAAGCAUUUGCCAAGGAUGUUUUCAUUAAUCAAGAACGAAAGUUAGGGGAUCGAAGACGAUCAGAUACCGUCGUAGUCCUAACCAUAAACUAUGCCGACUAGGGAUCGGAUGAUGUUAAUUUUUUAAUGACUCAUUCGGCGCCUUACG